rnacentral:rRNA from 1 species
AGAGUGAACGCUGGCGGUAGGCCUAACACAUGCAAGUCGAACGGCAGCACAGUGGUAGCAAUACCAUGGGUGGCGAGUGGCGGACGGGUGAGGAAUACAUCGGAAUCUACCUUUUCGUGGGGGAUAACGUAGGGAAACUUACGCUAAUACCGCAUACGCCCUUCGGGGGAAAGCCGGGGAUCGCAAGACCUGGCGCGGAUAGAUGAGCCGAUGUCGGAUUAGCUAGUUGGUGAGGUAACUGGCUCACCAAGGCGACGAUCCGUAGCUGGUCUGAGAGGAUGAUCAGCCACACUGGAACUGAGACACGGUCCAGACUCCUACGGGAGGCAGCGAGUGGGGAAUAGUUGGACAAGUGGGCGCAAGCCUGAUCCGAGCCAUACCGCGGUGGGUGAAGGAAGGCCGUU